rnacentral:rRNA from 1 species
CAGGAUGAACGCUAGCGGCAGGCUUAACACAUGCAAGUCGAGGGGUAUAGUUCUUCGGAACUAGAGACCGGCGCACGGGUGCGUAACGCGUAUGCAAUCUACCUUUCACAGAGGGAUAGCCCAGAGAAAUUUGGAUUAAUACCUCAUAGCAUAGUAGUCUCGCAUGAGACCACUAUUAAAGAUUUAUCGGUGAAAGAUGAGCAUGCGUCCCAUUAGUUAGUUGGUAAGGUAACGGCUUACCAAGACUACGAUGGGUAGGGGUCCUGAGAGGGAGAUCCCCCACACUGGUACUGAGACACGGACCAGACUCCUACGGGAGGCAGCAGUGAGGAAUAUUGGACAAUGGGCGCAAGCCUGAUCCAGCCAUGCCGCGUGCAGGAUGACGGUCCUAUGGAUUGUAAACUGCUUUUAUACAGGAAGAAACACCUCUACGUGUAGAGACUUGACGGUACUGUAAGAAUAAGGAUCGGCUAACUCCGUGCCAGCAGCCGCGGUAAUACGGAGGAUCCAAGCGUUAUCCGGAAUCAUUGGGUUUAAAGGGUCCGUAGGCGGUUUAGUAAGUCAGUGGUGAAAGCCCAUCGCUCAACGGUGGAACGGCCAUUGAUACUGCUAGACUUGAAUUAUUAGGAAGUAACUAGAAUAUGUAGUGUAGCGGUGAAAUGCUUAGAGAUUACAUGGAAUACCAAUUGCGAAGGCAGGUUACUACUAAUUGAUUGACGCUGAUGGACGAAAGCGUGGGUAGCGAACAGGAUUAGAUACCCUGGUAGUCCACGCCGUAAACGAUGGAUACUAGCUGUUGGGCGCAAGUUCAGUGGCUAAGCGAAAGUGAUA